GACGAACGCUGGCGGCGUGCUUAACACAUGCAAGUCGAACGGAAAGGCCCUGCUUUUGUGGGGUGCUCGAGUGGCGAACGGGUGAGUAACACGUGAGUAACCUGCCCUUGACUUUGGGAUAACUUCAGGAAACUGGGGCUAAUACCGGAUAGGAGCUCCUGCUGCAUGGUGGGGGUUGGAAAGUUUCGGCGGUUGGGGAUGGACUCGCGGCUUAUCAGCUUGUUGGGGGGGUAGUGGCUUACCAAGGCUUUGACGGGUAGCCGGCCUGAGAGGGUGAGCGGCGACAUUGGGACUGAGAUACGGCCCAGACUCCUACGGUAGGCAGCAGUGGGGAAUAUUGCACAAUGGGCGGAAGCCUGAUGCAGCAACGCCGCGUGCGGGAUGACGGCCUUCGGGUUGUAAACCGCUUUCGCCUGUGACGAAGCGUGAGUGACGGUAAUGGGUAAAGAAGCACCGGCUAACUACGUG
rnacentral:rRNA from 1 species